UCAUGGUGAAAUCACAUUCUAGUGAAAGUACACUACCACCCACUGUUAGAGGGGGAAAAUCUGAUGGUUGUAUGUGAAAGCUUUGAUAGAGAGCUUGUGAAUAUUGAGGUUGGUCUCUCACACCACUGCUGAUCCCACCUGACUGCAGGUGAGUGCUGUCAUGAGGACUUGGUUUCAGUGUCAAGGUUUUAAAUGGUUUCCAGAGUUCAGUAAAAGCUAAGCUUCUUUGUAAAGGCAUCAUUUGUGUGAAACAGGAGCACCUGAAAUGGGAAUCCAGUUCCAGCUAGCACUCUUUAAAACAACAAACACAAACCCCUGUAGGGAAUAUGGAUGAGAAGUCCAUUCUAAGACUGAGGAAAAUGCACUUGACUUGAGCUUGGGUUGGGUUGAGAGAAGAAUAUUUCUCUUCUGAUGCAUUCUUAGAGGUUUCUGCAUGUCUGUAUUCAUAGAAUCAUAGAGUAACAGUGGUUUGGAUUGGAGGGACCUUUUAAAGACCAUCUAGUCCAAGCCCUGCUGUGGGCAGAGACAUCUUUCACUAGAUCAGGUUGCUCAGACUGAUGUUGGACACUUCCAGCAAAGAGACAUUCACUUCCCUGGGCAACCCGGUCCAAUGUCUCGCCACCCUUGUCAUAAAAAGUUUCUUAUUUAAGAAGGAAGACUUAGGGUGAUUUUCUUAUGAUUUUGUUUGUGAUUUUCUGGAUUUGAGGAGGGCAAAAACUCGAGGUGAUUCAGUAAUACGUUCAGGGAAGAUUUGGGAGAAAGGACUGAAUGUUGUAAUAUGCAUUGCAUUUGGUGUUCUCUAUGAAUUUGUAUAAUUUUUGACUUUCUGUGAAGUCUUUUUUUUAUCUUUGUUUCUCCUGAGGAGGUUGUCAAGUGAGAAAGAAACAAAUUUUUUCACUCCACUGAAUGUAUCUGUAUUCAGUGACUGCUCUAGUUUUGAAGUUAGGUGUGUACAGUACAUCUGGAAGUAAUUUCCUGGGUAAUUUUGAGUAUGAAGGUCAGAGUGAGACGAUUACUUUGACAUAAAUAGUGGAAGUGAAAUUUAAAUUCUCAGGUGUAAAUGAAGGUAUUAAUUUGGAUGUGUGAGGCUGUGUACAGUUGCCCCUACUGUGUUUGCCCUUCUUUGUGUGCUCACAAAGGUGUGGUUGCUCACUUCUGUGGGUGGGUGAGAUUUUGCUUUUUGGUUGGCAUAGAAUACUUCCACAUUCUAUGCUGAAAUUUGAAUUCUUCUGCCAGCGUAGGAGGACUUGCGGCAGUUAAAAGAACAUCACUGCUGGAAGAAGCCCAGUGGAUCAUCUGUUCCUUCUGCAUGGGACCUUGUCUAUAAAGAUGAGGUCCAUGCAAGAACAUAGGUAAUCUGACUGUGGCCUUGUCCUGACAGUGAUGUCUUAACAUUCCUUUCUUGAGAAGCCUGUAGGAAGAGGGGGUGGGGAAAAAGAAUUUUCUACCAAUUAGAAGGUUUGGAAGGCAUAUAACAUUAACUGGUAAGUAUGAUUUCCAUCUUAUUUUAUCCAAAUGGAAAGGGUAUAGUAAUGUAAGCAAUCAAAAAAUUUUGAAUAAGGGAAAUGGUUAUUUUAAAAUUGCAUUAAUACA